ensembl:snRNA U6 U6 spliceosomal RNA
GUGCUCGCUUCGGCAGCAUAUAUACUAAAACUGGAACAAUACAGAGAAGACUAGCACGGCCCCUGCGCAAGGAUGACACGCAAAUUUGUGAAGCGUUCCAUGUUUUU